rnacentral:rRNA from 1 species
CCUACGGGAGGCAGCAGUCGAGAAUCAUUCACAAUGGGGGAAACCCUGAUGGUGCGACGCCGCGUGGGGGAAUGAAGGUCUCCGGAUUGUAAACCCCUGUCAUGGGGGAGCAAAUUAAAAAGAUAGUACCACAAGAGGAAGAGACGGCUAACUCUGGGCCAGCAGCCGCGGUAAUACAGAGGUCUCAAGCGGUGUUCGGAAUCACUGGGCGUAAAGCGUGCGUAGGCUGUUUUGUAAGGCGGGUGUGAAAGGCGCGGGCUCAACCCGCGGACGGCAGAUGAUACUGGUAGACUAGAGUAAUGGAGGAGGAACCGGAAUGCUCGGUGUAGCAGUGAAAUGCAUAGAUAUCGAGAGGAACACUCGUGGCGAAGGCAGGUUCCUGGACAUUGACUGACGCUGAGGCACGAAGGCCAGGGGAGCGAAAGGGAUUAGAUACCCCAGUAGUC